GUCCUACGGGGGGCAGCAGUGGGGGAUAUUGCACAAUGGGGGGAACCCUGAUGCAGCGACGCCGCGUGGGCGAUGGAGCGCCUCGGCGCGUAAAGCCCUAUCAGCAGGGAAGAAGAUGACGGUACCUGACUAAGAAGCCCCGGCUAAAUACGUGCCAGCAGCCGCGGUAAUACGUAUGGGGCAAGCGUUAUCCGGAUUUAUUGGGUUUAAAGGGUGCGCAGGCGGAUUUUUAAGUCAGCGGUCAAAUCGUGGGGCUCAACCCCAUCCAGCCGUUGAA
rnacentral:rRNA from 1 species